rnacentral:rRNA from 1 species
ACGGGAGGCAGCAGUGGGGGAUAUUGCACAAUGGGGGAAACCCUGAUGCAGCGACGCCGCGUGAGUGAUGAAGUAUUUCGGUAUGUAAAGCUCUAUCAGCAGGGAAGAAAAUGACGGUACCUGACUAAGAAGCACCGGCUAAAUACGUGCCAGCAGCCGCGGUAAUACGUAGGGUGCAAGCGUUAUCCGGAUUUACUGGGUGUAAAGGGAGCGUAGACGGCAUAGCAAGCCAGAUGUGAAAUGCGGGGGCUCAACCCCUGAACUGCAUUUGGAACUGUUAAGCUAGAGUAUCGGAGAGGUAAGUGGAAUUCCUAGUGUAGCGGUGAAAUGCGUAGAUAUUAGGAGGAACACCAGUGGCGAAGGCGGCUUACUGGACGAUAACUGACGUUGAGGCUCGAAAGCGUGGGGAGCAAACAGGAUUAGAUACCCUGGUA